UGAUUUCAUAGUAGUAACAUCUGAAUUUGGCUACCGUAAGCACAGGGUUUGUAGCCUACCUGGUUCUGGUGAAGUGGAUUGCAGAUGUAAAGACUCCUCUUCAAUGGGAGUGUCUGUGUGACCCUCAGGAUCUGAGCUGUGAGGUUUGUCAGUGUCCCAAUGCUACUGCUGUCUGCGAUGACCAUAGCCUGGGACAGGAGACUGGAGGAGGGGAACUUGGGCUAAUGUGAGACUGGAGCUGCUGUGCUAUUGGCUGCUGAGGUGAGGCUUGAAGCUGCUGCUGAAACGAGAUUGGCUGAAGGGUAGUAAACCCUCCCCCCAUGUUGUUGAUGACAGGGACCGUCUGUGGUUGAGAGGACGUCAAACCUACAUGAGGAGUCUCCCAGACUCAUUACACUUGGUAGGGAGGCCAUGAUCAGUCCUGGAGGGCCAGCGGAGGAUCCGGACACUCCGUGCAGGGAAGUGAGAGUACUGACAGGAGAACAAAUAAAUUUUUACAGGCUUGGAUGACAUGAGGGAGUGUAUGACUGGGUUCUAGCUGAACUGGACUGGCUAGACGACCGCUGCCAGCCCUGUCUUCACCACUGGAGCUUCUCAUUGUGCCCAAACUCUCACACAGCACUGACUGGCUGUACUUCAGAACUUCAGUGAAUGAACAAAAGAGAAAGCCUGGAACAGGAUUUGCUGGGAGGCGGGACCCCAUUUGAAUCGAUUUCUCCGUCCCUUUCUCACAUCCUCCCCGGAUUCCUCUCCUGACAUGACACCUCGACUGGCAUUGGUGAAUUCUGCAUUUAUUAGUCUGUACAGGGCGGCACGCUUUUGAUUCUUCAUGGGUGUGCCCUUGUUGAGGUGCUGGGAGAGAUGGGAUUGGUUGAGGCCGGUGGACUCCACCACCUCUCUCUGUGUGGUACCCCACUUGACAACAGCGAUACACCCGUCUAACGAAUCUGAAGAGGGCUUGUUCUGGGAAAACAGCACGACGUGGACCAUCACUCAUCGUCGAUAAUAUCUUCAGACGGUACAUCUGGCCCCAGU